AACGCACAUUGCGCCCGCCAGCAUUCUGGCGGGCAUGCCUGUUCGAGCGUCAUAUCAACCCUCGACUUCCCUAGGGCCCAGGGAAGUCGGCGUUGGGGACCGGCAGCACACCGCCGGCCCUGAAAUGGAGUGGCGGCCCGUCCGCGGCGACCUCUGCGUAGUAAUCCAACUCGCACCGGAACCCCGACGUGGCCACGCCGUAAAACACCCAACUUCUGAACGUUGACCUCGAAUCAGGUAGGACUACCCGCUGAACUUAA
rnacentral:misc_RNA from 1 species